rnacentral:rRNA from 1 species
UACGAAGGGGGCUAGCGUUGCUCGGAAUUACUGGGCGUAAGGGCUCGUAGGCGGCCAACUAAGUCAGACGUGAAAUCCCUCGGCUUAACCGGGGAACUGCGUCUGAUACUGGAUGGCUUGAGUUUGGGAGAGGGAUGCGGAAUUCCAGGUGUAGCGGUGAAAUGCGUAGAUAUCUGGAGGAACACCGGUGGCGAAGGCGGCAUCCUGGACCAACACUGACGCUGAGUGAGCGAAAAGCCAGGGGAGCAAACGGG